AAACUUUCUUACACCGAAUGCUUACAUUCACCGUAAGAAGUUGAGUGGCGGACGGGUGAGUAACACGUGGGUAACCUGCCUAAAAGAAGGGGAUAACACUUGGAAACAGGUGCUAAUACCGUAUAUCUCUAAGGAUCGCAUGAUCCUUAGAUGAAAGAUGGUUCUGCUAUCGCUUUUAGAUGGACCCGCGGCGUAUUAACUAGUUGGUGGGGUAACGGCCUACCAAGGUGAUGAUACGUAGCCGAACUGAGAGGUUGAUCGGCCACAUUGGGACUGAGACACGGCCCAAACUCCUACGGGAGGCAGCAGUAGGGAAUCUUCCACAAUGGACGCAAGUCUGAUGGAGCAACGCCGCGUGAGUGAAGAAGGUCUUCGGAUCGUAAAACUCUGUUGUUAGAGAAGAACACGAGUGAGAGUAACUGUUCAUUCGAUGACGGUAUCUAACCAGCAAGUCACGGCUAACUACGUGCCAGCAGCCGCGGUAAUACGUAGGUGGCAAGCGUUGUCCGGAUUUAUUGGGCGUGAAGGGAACGCAGGCGGUCUUUUAAGUCUGAUGUGAAAGCCUUCGGCUUAACCGGAGUAGUGCAUUGGAAACUGGAAGACUUGAGUGCAGAAGAGGAGAGUGGAACUCCAUGUGUAGCGGUGAAAUGCG
rnacentral:rRNA from 1 species